AAGUAUGUGGUUAAUAUCAGGUAGCGUUCGCAGCUAGUGGCAUGUGCGAUCACGUCCCUCUUAAUUAGCGUUAUUAUGUGAUUUAUGGUUAGGGGGUGUGACAACUGGUCUCAGAGCAGUGGUUCAAGCCAAAGUAGAUCACUGAGGGCUAUGUGGUGGAGUUGAUGUCACCACCCCCCCCCCCAGGAUCACAGUGAACCAUAGAGAUGUGUCGGAUUUGAUAGGUUGUUAAAAGCUGGUGUAUAUUAUAAUGGUGCAGUGCUAAAAAAUCUAAAUUGAUGACACGAAGAAAGAAUGGCGAAUGAGGAAUCAUCAGUUUAUGCUAGAGGGGUGGAGCAGGAGGGACAUGAACCCCACCCCUCUCACUGCAAAGCAACAUCAGCCUAAGCCAUAGAUAGAUUGCCACUUUGAUGGCAUAGGAAAUAUAGUUACAGAUGGCACGGCCGGUAUGGAAGUACCACCCUGAAUGAAAAUUAUGAAGUUGAAUCCGGCAGAUUGGUGGGGAAAAGGACAUUUAGUGGCUGAAGAAUGGUUAAAAAAUUAAAUGCAAAUUUAAAGUGAUGGAGCUGACCGACGACAGAAGUUACACUUGGGCCACCUCAGUUAUGUUAAGGGGAGAGGCCAGAAAUUGGUGGAAGCGAUGUAGAAGAUGUAAAUACCCAACCAAAGGAGUGCCAAUUUCAUGGCAAUAAUUUUGUAAAUUUUGCAUGAUCAGUACUCCCUCGCAUCUAUCGCAAAUGCAAAAGAAUAUAGUUUUGUCGUUUGAAGAAAGGGACGAUGUCCAUGAGGCGAAUAUGAAAGAAACGUUUAUAGUCUCUGUCCUCGAUUUGCGCCUGAGAUGGUGCAUGCUGAAGAUAUGAAGUGCAGACGAUUUGAGCAGGGCCUGGACUGGUAGAUCCGGAGUCCGUGUGUCUAUGUUUGAGAAUUAAUAUAUAUUUAGAGUUGGUGAACAAAGCAAAAAUUACGAGCUGGAUAUGAUGGAAUUUCAGAAUAAGGACGAGAUAACAAAGAGGAGAAUUGGAUUCGGGGGCUGGACGUCAUACAAAGGUCUUCAUAAUGCAACAACAACAAGUAUAUCCUUAGGCCACAACUUAUGUGGCUUUCCGAUUUCAAUACCGGUUUUUCCCUUCGUUUCCUCCUUUUUCACUCUCUUGUCCCCCCGCCCUUUCCGUUUUCCGGUUUCCUCUCAUCCCCUUAACAUAAUAUGGCCAAGAUAACUCUUUUUCUAUUCGUCGUCCACCUCCCAUCACUUCAAAUAUUACAUCUAAUUUCUUUACUUUACCAUUUUCACAAGCACUACAGGAUUAGUUGCCCCCACAAAUUCUGGCGGAUUCACUUCAUAAUUGUUCAUAGUAGGGUGGUACUUCUUAAGCCGCUUUUGGCCAUCAAGUUAGAUUUAGCACAUGCAUACAUAAAUAUAACACAAGCCUAACAACCUAUCGCACUCCGACACACCGACACAUCCUAUGGUUCACUGUGAUCCAGACAUCAACUCCACCACAUAGCCUCAAUGAUAUACUUUGGCUUUGAACCACUGCUCGGAUUUACCCCAAAAGUUUUCACCCCCCCAACCUAAAUCAACAUAAUCAAGCUACUAGGCUGUGAUGUGAUCGCACCAGGCCACUAUGCCUGCGAACGACACCUGUUGCACCACAUACUCAAUAAUAAGAAUCCUCAAAUACUCAUUCAUUGAUAAUUUAAAAUCAAAAUGCCACAUCCAUAAAUUAACAUAUAUACAUACCCUGACUGAAACAUACACAACUUUCUGUAUAAAAACAUAAACAGGUAACAAUGACAUAAACUAACACGCUGUACAAAAGCAAGAACUGGUCCCAAGUUCUGCCAACAUCAAUCAAACCACACUAGGAAGCCUCUACCAUCUAGGAUCAUGACCACAGUAAACCAAUAUCUAAUUGUAAUCACUAAUACCUGUCAAAAAGAGUCUGUAUGUGGACUAAUAUCAGCAUGCUCAAAUAGAUAAUCGAACUCAUAAGAAUGAUACAAAUAGCCAUUCAUUAUAGAAAUCAAGCCAUAAAGAAUGUCCUAUGCAAUAAUUCAACCCACAUGGGCGCGCAAGUUUCGAUAGAAUUUUAGAUAGAUGAAACAAUACAAGAAGAGGAGAUUGUAUUUUGGGGGCGAGAUCGUCAAGACAAAGGUCUUCAGAUGUUACAACAACAGAGAAGCGAGUCGAGCCCAGACUGAGUGCCGAGAAGUGCAAAGACUGGUAUUUCUAGAGGUGGGGGAAAUGUUAGGGGAAGAAGGUCGUGAGACCACCACUAGACCUAAUACUGUCACGAUCUUGUACUACAGGAGGAAUUAUUUGUUAUCGGUGCUGCGUUGAAGGCCAUAUAGUCCGUGAUUUUCCCACUGCCAUGGGCGGACAAAUGUUAAUCAGUGCAGGCAACAUGGACCAUAGCAAGACAUUGUACUCAAGGCCUGUUGCCGCUUUCAAUCAGUAAGGCAGUGCAGUUGGAGGAGGUAGUAAGCAAAUAGACGUGCA
rnacentral:lncRNA from 1 species